CAGCGGCGGGUUCUGGUCGUCAAAGCGACCGAAAUCUUCCCAGGCUCGUGAGAGUGUUCUCUGUUGUCGCGGCAGCGAUGGCUCCGGGGUCUGGCUCCCGCAGCCCGGAGCGGGAGGCCUCGGGUUCCGGGGAAGCGUCGCAGUUGGUCCGAGAGCUCCGAGCCCAGCGAAUCCGCCCGCUCCCCGCGCACUCUUGCUCUCGGUCCGGGGACCGGAACGGCCUCAGCCCAGGCUCCCCAGACGAGCCCUACCGCUCCUGCUUGUGGCAUCGUUCGCGACAGCGGCCCUCUGCGCCGCGGGGCACCCCCUGCCUUCUGCCUCCUCGUCUGCUUGUUGCGGCCCCUACGGGAGUGACAGGCCGCGGCGUAGACUCCUGGACAAGGAGAGGGAGAAGAGGAAAGGCCACAUGAGGACACAACAAGAAGGCUCAGGCUACAAGCAAGGAAGAGAGGUCUGACCAGAAACCAACCCUGAUGGCACCUUGAUCUUGGACUUUUAACCUCCAGAAUGCUCUGAUGAACAUACACCAGUAGAGGAUGAAGAACCAAAGAAAAUCACCACCUCAGCUUCUUCUUCAGAAG